rnacentral:rRNA from 1 species
ACGGGGGGUGCAAGCGUUGUCCGGAAUCACUGGGCGUAAAGCGCGCGCAGGCGGCUCGGUAAGUCAGUUGUGAAAUCCCUGGGCUUAACCCAGGAAGUGCAUUUGAUACUGUGUAGCUAGAGUACGGGAGAGGAAAGUGGAAUUCCUGGUGUAGAGGUGAAAUUCGUAGAUAUCAGGAGGAACACCGGUGGCGAAGGCGGCUUUCUGGCCCGAUACUGACGCUCAGGCGCGAAAGCGUGGGGAGCAAACCG